AGACUUAUGCAGAGAUGAAAUCGUAACCAAUGAAGUUCUACUGAGGUGCGAUUUUUGCUAGUUAUAAAAGAAAAACGACAAAAGAAAUAUUUCUGAAAAAUAUUAGAUUUAUAGUACUUGUCUUGUCAA